rnacentral:rRNA from 1 species
CCACGGGGGGCGCAAGCGUUAUUCGGAAUUAUUGGGCGUAAAGGGCGCGUAGGCGGUCUUGUCGGUCAGAUGUGAAAGCCCAGGGCUCAACCCUGGACGUGCAUUUGAAACAGCAAGACUUGAGUACGGGAGAGGAAAGCGGAAUUCCUGGUGUAGAGGUGAAAUUCGUAGAUAUCAGGAGGAACACCGAUGGCGAAGGCAGCUUUCUGGACCGAUACUGACGCUGAGGCGCGAAGGCGUGGGUAGCGAACAGGAUUAGAUACCCUAGUAGUCC